GCACUUCCAAGUUUUUGGUAUAGUAACCUAGCUCUUGUUUUAAAAUAAAUGUUCUGGAAGCAAGUACUUAUGUCCUGUUUCUGGUACUAUGGACAACCUGUAGUAAUGCCGAGCACUACCAUGUUUUCACUAUGGUAACCUAAUUCUUAUCUAAAAAUGAAUGUUCCGGAUUCAAUUUACUACCUACCUACCUUGAGUCAUCUGGCCAUAUGGAAGCUAUCUCUAAUUCUGAUUUGUUGGCUAAGCACGAUAUAAUCUCAACUCACUGUGAAUCGUUUUUGCGGCCAUGUGUUACUUUACUGUCUUUAGAUUUACUUGAACAUUCAGAAUUUGAAACGUCUUUAGGGUAUAUAUGAUUAUAUGAUGGAGCUAUCUGUAGAAGUUUGAUGUCUGUAUUUGACUUCUUUCACAAUCCCUCUCUUUAAUUUGAAGUCUGAAGAUAGUUCUGGCUUUCUCCCUGGACGAUAAUCUCUUCUUUGGAUGAGUGGGAGAAGAGGGUUGUCUUGCUGAUUCUGACUCUGUUUAUUUGAAGAAACUGUGACUUUCUUUUUGCACGUCCCUCAUCUCUGGGUUGUCUUGCUGAUUUUAAAUCUGCAGCCAAGUGCAUUGAUUUGUGCGUUCUUAGCUCCUUCGUUUUUUCAUCAUUGCUGACAAAUUUCCAGCAUUGUUGAUAAUGGAAUGCGAGGAAUUUUGCUCUUUCUUAUAUAUGGUGGCGUAACUGGGCUUAACUGCGACAAGGUAUUGUCCAUCCAACGUUACUGAACUGUUCACAAACUUUCUGCAUAUCCAUGUUGCUAAAAUCUGCAUAUCAUGUUUCAAUUGACUUGGCAGAGGUGAGAUUUAGAAUGAUGCAUGUCCUCUGUACUAGCUUAUGUGCUAUGAUUCCUGUUUUGGAUCAUACUUCAGUGUCAUGUUUAUUUUCAUAUUUGAAAGGAGUUUCUAUGGCAUGAGAAAUUUUUUAACAGAUUAUGCAACUAUAGUGCCAACCUUAGAAUAGGUGGAAAAUUGCAGCGAGGAAGGCUAUGCUCUUCAAUGGGGUGGCCAUUGAAUUUAUUAGAGCACUAAUGCCAAUAGGUUGGCUAGAGAGAAUCCAAGCUGUCUGAUCCAAGUUAGGUCACCACAUCUAGAAGAUGAGAGUUAUUGGACCUUCAUUGUGGUGUGGCCAGAGAAGAGCAGAACCACAUGCUUUUUGUGCCGCUCAAAUAGUGAUGGAUGCCCUGAGAUUGUGGGAAGCAUGUGUUGCCAAGGGAGCGAUAAACUUCUUUUUGGCAUAUAGACGGCAGCCAUAUCGAAUUGAAAGUCUGGAAAGGAUGAGGUCCCCAUUAGUCCUGGCUUGGUUCUCUUCAUUCUUAUCUUAUAUGUGAACUGCAAUCACUGAUUGGAUCACUCGAAAAUUAUGCAGAUAGUUCGUGUAGGUUUAUACAUCAUGGUGCUCUUCCAA